rnacentral:misc_RNA from 1 species
GGCAGCUUCAUUUAAGAUCAUAUAAAUUACAAGUUACAGACUUAUUGACAAUGCAAAUGCAGCUUGUAGUACCCAAAUUUCCCCCAAGUACACAAUGCUAACUAGAGUGGUACUAAAUCUUUUUACAAAAAUUCCAGGCAUGCUGCUACAAACAAUAUUAUCCCAUUUACCUGAAACAAUUUAUACAUACAACCAUGUCAUGUUCAGAAGCACGAAAGUGAACUUUGAAAGGUUAAAAAUACCAGUGCUGUGCCAUCCUCAGUCAAUUCUGCAGCUACAUAAUUUUACAAUCACCUGAGUAGUUAACUGUAACAGCUCAUGUUGUGGAUUCACCAUCUUUCCUAAGUAAUUCUGAUUUGGUAGAAGCAAUAGACAGCCGUUGCCUUUCUUUCUUCUCACGCAAGCACUCUCCGCACCAAUUAGAGAAAUCUUUUUGAUAUUUCUUCAUUUCUCUAAAUACUGAACUGUAUAGAGACAACAUAAAUGCAUGUUUAAAGCUAGUGAUAUUCUAUGCUUGCAAAAAGCAAGAAAAGUUCAUAAUAAAAGGGAAAGGCCUUUGCUGACAGGAGUUGCAAGAAAUAAUAGAAAAAUUACAAUAGCACCAAUUGGUCAAGCAAUCAAAUGGCUGGAAAAUCCUAAAAGAAAAAUGAUGAAAUGAAACUAGUAAUGAUGGUUGACCAUUAAACAUGGUUUGAAAAAUUGACCAAAAUUAAUAUAUUGCCUGGAAUCGGAACAAACAGCAAGUUUAUUAAUUGAUAUAGCAAGUAGUGCAGAAUAAACAUGAAAAACUACCUUCUACACCAAAGAAGUAGAUUGAUCCUAUGACCAGAUGUUGUGGCCCUGGCACCAUGCCUGUGACGACCACGAUGAAGCACAGCUCGGCCAGGGACAUGAGAAUAGUCAAAGAUCUCCUCUGACUGACUUCCAGUAUUUACAUGUUUAUCACAUCGCAUGCCCCGGAAAAACAAUUCUCCACCAGAAAAUUGCUUACCCAAGCAAACAU